UACACAAUUUGCCUCUAACUGGGGGAAAGUCGCUGGAAACGGCGAAUAAUCCCGCAUAAUAUCUUAUUAUGGCAUCGUAAAAAGAUUAAAGCUCCGGCGGUUAGAGAUGAGUGUGCGUCCCAUUAGCUAGUUGGUAAGGUAACGGCUUACCAAGGCGACGAUGGGUAGGGGGCGUGAGAGCGUGGUCCCCCACACGGGUACUGAGACACGGACCCGACUCCUACGGGAGGCAGCAGUAAGGAAUAUUGGUCAAUGGAGGAAACUCUGAACCAGCCAUGCCGCGUGCAGGAUGAAGGCCCUUUGGGUCGUAAACUGCUUUUAUCAGAGAAGAAUGACUGGGAUUCAUCCCGGGAGAGACGGUACCUGAUGAAUAAGCACCGGCUAACUCCGUGCCAGCAGCCGCGGUAAUACGGAGGGUGCAAGCGUUAUCCGGAAUCACUGGGUUUAAAGGGUACGUAGGCGGGCUAAUAAGUCAGAAGUGAAAUCUCGCAGCUUAACUGCGAAACUGCUUUUGAAACUGUUAGUCUUGAAUUCGGUUGAGGUGCGCGGAAUGCGUCAUGUAGCGGUGAAAUGCUUAGAUAUGACGUAGAACACCAAUUGCGAAGGCAGUGCACUGGACCGCGAUUGACGCUGAGGUACGAAAGCGUGGGUAGCGAACAGGAUUAGAUACCCUGGUAGUCCACGCCCUAAACGAUGCUAACUGGAUAUUCGG
rnacentral:rRNA from 1 species